rnacentral:lncRNA from 1 species
UGAAGAAGCUGCUUACGCAGUUUGUUUUUCUCACAGCGCACUCUGCAAAGCGUCAGUGUUGCUCAUCCAGUUCCAUGUCCUCAGACACUGACACAAGGAGCAGAUCAUGCCUCCUCACAGAGCUGGGAAGGCCUUGUGUGCUGGGAGAGAGGCAUGCAGCCUUGCAGGCUGUGUGCCAGAAUGUGCAAAGAAACAUGGAGGGUUGGCCUGCUGCCCCAGUGACACCUGAGGGACAGCUGAAGGACAUCCUUUAACCAGCUCUGUGGCCAUGAGAUAAACAGUGUGGCCAAGCCUGUGGCUCUCUCUGCAAGCUCCACUCUCAGCUCAGUUGUUGGAGGUUCUUACACUUGAUGCUGCAGUCAGGAGCUCGGCAGAGUCCAGCAUGAUUCUUCUUACGGUGCUGUUCCUUUGCAUCAUUUCCACCUACUCAGCCUCUGUGAAAGGUAGG